rnacentral:lncRNA from 1 species
CCAUGGAAUGAGUGAUUUUUCUUAGAAGCAGAGGUGGAGCCACUGAGGAAGCACAGGCGAGCCCUCCCCAGCACGUGCUCACUGGUCCCCAACAGAAGAACCGCUGCCGCCUCCAUGAGUCCCAUCAGAGCCCUAGAGCCCAAGAUGCAGCAUCCAAGGUUCCCUCCAGAAAUCCUGGUGGCUUGACUUAUUUUGUCAUGUUUCAUCUGAUAACAAAAAUAUCAUAUUAGCUGCACAGAAAAAUGGCUCAAAGUGCUUACUGACUAGAAGAAAUCGAGGAGCAGCAAGAAGAUGUUUCAUCUGCUCUACAAGGGAGUCCCAUUUCAGGUGUGGGGCUGGGCAUGGUCACUCCUGCUGGAUGUCUGGAAGGUGAAAACCAAGGACCUAGGGAAAUACCAGGUACAGCCUUUCCACCCUCAUCCAGAGCAGGACAAACAGGCCAGGUGGUAUCAGGAGCCCAGGUCUCCAGCUGGAGGGAAUGUCAACCCUGCAGUGGGAGUCCAUCACGCAUCCUAGGCACAGAUGCUAAUGUAGGCACCGCGGACCAUAAAGGAAAACAGCAAGAGGUCCCCAGCAAACAUCUACAGAUGGCCCUGGACAUCAGCCACAUUCUGAGAAACAUGUCAUGUUCUGGGAGGGCUAAGGCAUCAAGGCCUCAGUGCAUGGGCACUGUCCAACCUCUGGUGCUGAAGCAGCCGAGAGACCCAAGCCUGCCACUCAAGAUAUGA